rnacentral:rRNA from 1 species
GAGGAACAGUAAUCAAACGAGAUUUUCUUAGUAGCGGCGAGCGAACGGGAAAGAGGCCAAACCGGAGCGGGCAACCGCACCGGGGUUGAGGACAGUCAUCAAGUGUAAAUGAGGUAGAAGAAUCGAGCUGGAAAGCUCAGCCGCAGAAGGUGAAAGCCCUGUAAUCGAAACCUUGCAUACAUGGGACUGUAUCCAGAGUACCACGAGACACGUGAAACCUUGUGGGAAGCAGGGGGGACCACCCUCCAAGCCAAAAUACUGAUAUCGACCGAUAGCGCAUAGUACCGUGAGGGAAAGGUGAAAAGAACCCCUGGCGGGGAGUGAAAGAGAACCUGAAACCGUAUGUCUACAAACAGUCGAAGUCUGUAUAUAUAUCAGGACGACGGCGUGCCUAUUGAAGAAUGAACCGACGAGUUACUGUUGCUAGCGAGGUUAAGUGGAAAACAUGGAGCCGCAGCGAAAGCGAGUCUGAACAGGGCGUUCAGUUAGUAAUAGUAGACCCGAAACCGUAGUGAUCUAUCCAUGGCCAGGUUGAAGCACAGGUAAAAUUGUGUGGAGGACCGAACUCGUGAGCGUUGAAAAGCUUUGGGAUGAGUUGUGGAUAGGGGUGAAAUGCCAAUCGAACACGGAGAUAGCUGGUUCUCCCCGAAAUAGCUUUAGGGCUAGCCUCGAGGUAGAGAGUAUAGGCGGUAGAGCACUGAUCGGGCUAGGGGCCAUACCGGUUACCGAACCUAGUCAAACUACGAAUGGCUAUACUUAUACUCGGGAGUCAGACAGUGAAUGAUAAGGUCCAUUGUCAAGAGGGAAACAGCCCAGAACACCGACUAAGGUCCCCAAUGUUACACUAAGUGGCGAAGGAUGUGGAAUUUCCAAAACAACCAGGAUGUUGGCUUAGAAGCAGCCACCAUUUAAAGAGUGCGUAAUAGCUCACUGGUCGAGAGACUCUGCGCCGAAAAUGUCCGGGGCUAAAGUGUAAAACCGAAGUCGUGUCAUAUGCAGCAAUGUAUAUGGGUAGGGGAGCGUUCUCAUCGGGCUGAAGCAGUACCGUAAGGAGUUGUGGACUGAUGAGAAGUGAGAAUGUCGGUAUGAGUAGCGAAAAGAAUGGUGAGAAUCCAUUCCACCGAAAGCCUAAGGGUUCCUGAGCAACGAUCGUCGUCUCAGGGUAAGUCGGGACCUAAGCCGAGGCGGAAAAGCGUAGGCGAUGGACAACAGGUUGAAAUUCCUGUACCGGUGUGAAUCGUUUGAUCGAUGGAGUGACACAGUAAGGUAGGUCAGCACGCGAUUGGAAGAGCGUGUUUAAGCAGGUAGGUUGAGCUAUAGGCAAAUCCGUAGCUCUAAAAGCUGAGAUGUGAUGACGAGUGACUAGCAAUAGUCGCGAAGUGAUUGAUCCUACACUGUCGAGAAAAGCUUCUAGGUAGAGACACAUCGCCCGUACCAAAACCGACACAGGUAGGCGGGGAGAGAAUCCUAAGGUGCGCGGGAAAACCCUCGUUAAGGAACUCGGCAAAAUGCCUCCGUAACUUCGGGAAAAGGAGGACUCAUGUAGUGUGAAGAGCAGAAGCGCUUGGAGCAUGAAUGAGUGGCACAAGAGAGGCGCAAGCGACUGUUUACCACAAACACAGGUGCCUGCUAAAGCGAAAGCUGAUGUAUAGGUGCUGACACCUGCCCGGUGCUGGAAGGUUAAGAGGAGGGGUUAGACUUCGGUCGAAGCUCUGAAUUGAAGCCCCAGUAAACGGCGGCCGUAACUAUAACGGUCCUAAGGUAGCGAAAUUCCUUGUCGGGUAAGUUCC